rnacentral:rRNA from 1 species
UCGACCGCCUGGGGAGUACGGCCGCAAGGUUAAAACUCAAAUGAAUUGACGGGGGCCCGCACAAGCGGUGGAGCAUGUGGUUUAAUUCGAUGCAACGCGAAGAACCUUACCUGGUCUUGACAUCCACGGAAGUUUUCAGAGAUGAGAAUGUGCCUUCGGGAACCGUGAGACAGGUGCUGCAUGGCUGUCGUCAGCUCGUGUUGUGAAAUGUUGGGUUAAGUCCCGCAACGAGCGCAACCCUUAUCCUUUGUUGCCAGCGGUCCGGCCGGGAACUCAAAGGAGACUGCCAGUGAUAAACUGGAGGAAGGUGGGGAUGACGUCAAGUCAUCAUGGCCCUUACGACCAGGGCUACACACGUGCUACAAUGGCGCAUACAAAGAGAAGCGAACUCGCGAGAGCAAGCGGACCUCAUAAAGUGCGUCGUAGUCCGGAUUGGAGUCUGCAACUCGACUCCAUGAAGUCGGAAUCGCUAGUAAUCGUGGAUCAGAAUGCCACGGUGAAUACGUUCCCGGGCCUUGUACACACCGCCCGUCACACCAUGGGAGUGGGUUGCAAAAGAAGUAGGUAGCUUAACCUUCGGGAGGGCGCUUACCACUUUGUGAUUCAUGACUGGGGUGAAGUCGUAACAAGGUAACCGUAGGGGAACCUGCGGUUGGAUCACCUCCUUACCUUAAAGAA